rnacentral:rRNA from 1 species
UACGUAGGGGGCAAGCGUUAUCCGGAUUUACUGGGUGUAAAGGGAGCGUAGACGGCAUGGCAAGUCAGAUGUGAAAGCCUUCGGCUUAACCGGAGUAGUGCAUUGGAAACUGGGAGACUUGAGUGCAGAAGAGGAGAGUGGAACUCCAUGUGUAGCGGUGAAAUGCGUAGAUAUAUGGAAGAACACCAGUGGCGAAAGCGGCUCUCUGGUCUGUAACUGACGCUGAGGUUCGAAAGCGUGGGUAGCAAACGGG